GGUACCUCAGCUGGUAAACAUCUCAGCAGGGCGAGUAAUGAAUGGGGCUCCUUGAGCUGAGUGCUGGCAGGCAAUGAGUGCAGAGACACAGGUGACCAGGCCGAGCGUCACUGAGAUUUGUAGGUCCUCUGCUCUGCCACAGAUGAACUAAAAACUCUACAAAACAGUCGUGCAGUGCUUGAGAGAG
rnacentral:lncRNA from 1 species